rnacentral:rRNA from 1 species
UAGGGAAUCUUCCACAAUGGGCGAAAGCCUGAUGGAGCAACGCCGCGUGUGUGAUGAAGGCUUUCGGGUCGUAAAGCACUGUGGUAUGGGAAGAACAGCUAGAAUAGGAAAUGAUUUUAGUUUGACGGUACCAUACCAGAAAGGGACGGCUAAAUACGUGCCAG